GGUUGCGAUCAUACCAGCACUAAUGCACCGUAUCCCAUCAGAACUCCGCAGUUAAGCGUGCUUGGGCGAGAGUAGUACUAGGAUGGGUGACCCACUGGGAAGUCCUCGUGUUGCAACCC
rnacentral:rRNA from 1 species